ACGGCGGUGCUGCUGGGAUCAACGGUGUGUCUCUUACAUUAAUCGGUUUCAUUACUCAACUAACGAAUAAUAUAGUACAAUAAUCGCGGGUGACAAAAUAUGCAGCUUUAAUAUAACCGACGAAACGAUUUCCAGCUCCACUUCUCCGGCAAACUCGAGCACCGCAACACCGGCGAAAUCCCAUAUCGUCUUGGAAAGCUUUGAGUCUCGGCCUUUCUGCAUCCUCUGUUCCUUAGCUUCGGAAUGUAAGAUCGUGGCUCUAUCUAUUCACAGGAUCCAUCAAGACACAAAUUGUUCAUAUUCAUCGAUACAUCAUAUUGCUUCCCGUAAAGUCAGAUCGAGAUGUUUACUAGAUGUAACAAACUCUGCUGCAGAAUGAAAAUGGAAUCAUGUAAGCUGUUCAUGGCUACUCUUCAUGAUCGAUGUGUCUCCAAGGAGUUGAAAAACCAGAGGCUUCUGCCCAAAAUGAUUUCUCAGUCAAGACAAAUGUAAAUGGAAGAAGCAUCGUCAGAUACCAUAUUUACAUUCUGAAAAAAAAAGAGACCAGAGAUGGAUGACAAACAUAUGCGUCUUUGAAGGAUUCUCACUUGCUUGCCGCUAGAAAGCAUUCAGAAGAUGAUGGAAUCAGUUCCAUGGAUCGGCUUCCUCAUAGCUACGAAAGGGAAGAAGGUGAAAGAACGAGUCAGACAAUGAGAAGGAUACCAUGCAGAGAAGCCACUAAAGAUCCAAAUUUCUGCAACACUAAAACAACAGCUCAUUGUCUGGGAGAAUAUUACGCACCAGGACAAGGUACAACCAGGGUCUGCUGCUGAUGGAAGUUCACAAGCUAAUGACAUUGAUGGGAAGAAGAAAAUUAAGUGGGCAAGAAGUUGCUACUAAGACCUGCAAUUAUCCACCUAUCAACUCCAUGGCUGCUUCACAACACUAACGUGUAGCUCAAUGCAUACAAUGCUUUAUAGUUUACAAGAAUACAAUAGGAAGAGCAACGAUGAUCCUAAAGUAUCAAUACAAAGUUACGGAAAUGAGAUCGAUGUUUGGAGUGAAGGGAUUAUUUUAAUCAUCUUGCUUUGUGGUGUGCCUCUUUUUUGGGCUGCUAAUAUAUUGCUAAUUGUUUCGUCCAUUUAAUUAUGUAAUUGAUAUUUUUUAUGAUUUUGUUAUAUUUACAAUUAGGGAUGUGAAUUGUUGAGCGAAGCUUGAAGAGGUUUAUUCAUUUUAAAUUUUCAAUAUUUUCCUUUGUUA